CGACUACUUAAACUGUGCUCACUGCUAAUCUGCUAACUGUGCGAAAGCUUGCCCCGUCAAACUGCAGCCCGUUGCUUGUUUGCACACAGCGAUGUCUGUUUUAGAAAGAGAAGCCAUACAAAAGCAAAUCCAGCAAGACUGGGCGAAUAGGGAAUACAUUGAAAUCAUUAGCGGGAGCAUAAAGAAGAUCGUCGAUUUUCUUACAUCGUUUGAUAUGUCAUGUAGGGCAAGGCUUGCUACCUUAAACGAAAAGCUAACGUCACUGGAAAGAAGAAUUGAAUACCUGGAGGCCAGAGUAACAAAAGGUGACACAACAUUCAAUUGAUCACUGUGUGGUUAUUUACGGACUGUACAUCUACUAUACAGGUGUUUUUAUAUAUGUGUGUGGUAUAACCAGCUCUGAUAAGUUGGUGGCAUGCUGCCUUUGUGGACUGACCGUUACAAACUUCAGAUUUCAUUUGUGAAUAGCCUGAAGGUAAUGAGUGCUCGAAUGGACUUGUGGCACAAGAGGAGAAGUACUUUGGCCCACCAGCUCCUGUUGUCCAAGCAGUGUGUUUAUCGUUAAAUACAAAAAUUUAAGUCAUUGCUGUCCAUGAAUACUGAUGUAUUGGUUACUUUUUGUAAUGUGUAAUAAUUGCUUGUAACUUCCAUUAAAAUGCUUUUGUAACACUU